rnacentral:sRNA from 1 species
GCUGGGUGUGGUGGUUGCACACCUGUAGUCCCAGCUACUUUGGAGGCUGAGGCAGGAUUGCUCGAUCCCAGGAGUUCAGGGCCAGUCUGAGCAGCAUAGUCAGACCUGUCUCUU